UGUUGCGGGAUCGCGUGCGCCGGCUCCGACGGGCCGGCCGGCAGUUGCAGAAAACCAUGUGUCAGGGGAACCGGGUUGAAUACCGGGCCGCAGAGGGUGAGGGCCCCGUACCUGAACGCGCAUGGUCUGCCGAUCGCGUCUCCCAAGUAGCACGGGUCCCGUGGAACCCCGUGCGAAUCCGCCCAGACCGUUGGGUAAGCCUGAAUAUUCCUGUCUGACCGAUAGCGAACGAGUACCGUGAGGGAAAGGUGAAAAGUACCCCGGGAGGGGAGUGAAACAGUCUCUGAAACCGUGCGCCUACAAUCCGUCGGAGCCCUUUUGUGGGGUGACGGCGUGCCUAUCGAAAAAUGAGUCUGCGAGUCAGUGGCAUGUGGCGAGCAUAACCCGUGUGGGGUAUGCGUAGCGAAGGCGAGUCUUAAAAGGCGUUUGAGUCGCGUGUCCUGGACCCGAAGCGGGAUGAUCUAGCCCUGAGCAGGUUGAAGCGCGGGUAAGACCGCGUGGAGGACCGAACCCACCUGGGUUGAAAACCGGGGGGAUGACUUGGGGCUAGGGGUGAAAGGCCAAUCAAAUUCCGUGAUAGCUGGUUCUCUCCGAAAUGCAUUUGGGUGCAGCGUCGGGUCAUUACGUCCCGGGGGUAGAGCUACUGGAUGCUUGCGGGCCCGUAUCGGGUACCAACAGCAACCAAACUCCGAAUACCGGUGACGCGUAUCCCGGCAGUGAGUCGGCGGGGGAUAAGCUUCGUCGUCGAAAGGGAAACAGCCCAGACCGUCGUCUAAGGUCCCGAAGCGUGUGCUAAGUGGGAAAGGAUGUGGAGUCGCAUAGACAGCCAGGAGGUUGGCUCAGAAGCAGCCACCCUUGAAAGAGUGCGUAACAGCUCACUGGUCUAGUGGUUCCGCGCCGACAAUGUAGCGGGGCUCAAGCACACCACCGAAGACGCGGCAGUAUUUUGUACUGGGUAGGAGAGCGUCCCAUGAGGGGCGAAGCGGCCGUGUGAACGCGCCGUGGACUUCAUGGGAGUGAGAAUGCAGACAUGAGUAGCGAGAGACGGGUGAAGAUCCCGUCCGCUGGAUGACCAAGGGUUCCAGGGCCACGUUCAUCGUCCCUGGGUGAGUCGGGUCCUAAGGCGAGGCCGACAGGCGUAGUCGAAUGGAUGAACGGGUCGAUAUUCCCGUACCGGCUUUCAGCCGCCAAAACCGAGGCUUGGAGUACUAACCUCCGGGUCCGGGCUUACUGCUCCUUCGGGGGCGGGAUGCCCUGGCCUGUUGGGACCGAUCCUUGUAGUAGGUCAGCGCAGGAGUGACGCAGAAGGGUAGCCGGCCGCGGAGGUGGUCUUCCGUGGUCAAGCACGCAGGGCGUGGGACAGGCAAAUCCGUCCCGCAUGGGUCCGAGGUGCGAUGAUGGGGGCCUUAUGGCCCGAUAUCCGGUGAUCCCGGCUGCCGAGAAAAGCUUCGGCGUCAGGCUCGAAGCCGCCCGUACCCCAAACCGACACUGGUGGUCAGGUAGAGAAUACCAAAGCGAUCGAGCGAAUCCUGGUCAAGGAACUCGGCAAAUCACUCCCGUUCCUUCGGUUUAAGGGAGACCCCCGAUGGUGAACCGCCUCGCGCGGGGAGCUUUUGGGGGUGGCACAGACCAGGGGGUAGCGACUGUUUACCAAAAACACAGGUGCAUGCGAAGGCGCAAGCCGCUGUAUAUGCACUGACGCCUGCCCGGUGCCGGAAGGUUAAGAGGAUCCGUCAGCCUUCGGGUGAAGCGGUGAAUUCAAGCCCCGGUAAACGGCGGUGGUAACUAUAACCAUCCUAAGGUAGCGAAAUUCCUUGUCGGGUAAGUUCCGACCUGCACGAAUGGCGUAACGACUUCCCCACUGUCUCGACCAGGAGCUCGGCGAAAUUGCAGUACGAGUAAAGAUGCUCGUUAAGCGCAGAAGGACGAAAAGACCCCGGGACCUUUACUAUACCUUGGUAUUGGCAUUCGGUGUG
rnacentral:rRNA from 1 species